rnacentral:rRNA from 1 species
UACGUAGGGUGCAAGCGUUGUCCGGAAUUAUUGGGCGUAAAGAGCUCGUAGGCGGUUUGUCGCGUCUGCUGUGAAAAACUCGGGGCUUAACUCCGGGCCUGCAGUGGGUACGGGCAGACUAGAGUGCGGUAGGGGAGACUGGAAUUCCUGGUGUAGCGGUGAAAUGCGCAGAUAUCAGGAGGAACACCGGUGGCGAAGGCGGAUCUCUGGGCCGAUACUGACGCUGAGGAGCGAAAGCGUGGGGGAGCGAACAGG